rnacentral:rRNA from 1 species
AAACUAACUAGGAUUCCCUUAGUAACGGCGAGUGAACCGGGAUGAGCUCAAAUUUGAAAUCUGGCGUCUUUCAGGCGUCCGAGUUGUAAUCUAUAGAGGCGUUUUCCGCGCCGGACCGCGUCCAAGUCUCUUGGAAUAGAGUAUCAAAGAGGGUGACAAUCCCGUACUUGACGCGACAACCGGUGCUCUGUGAUACGUUCUCAACGAGUCGAGUUGUUUGGGAAUGCAGCUCUAAAUGGGUGGUAAAUUCCAUCUAAGGCUAAAUAUUGGCGAGAGACCGAUAGCGAACAAGUACCGUGAGGGAAAGAUGAAAAGCACUUUGGAAAGAGAGUUAAACAGCACGUGAAAUUGUUAAAAGGGAAACGAUUGAAGUCAGUCGUGUGAAAGGUAUUCAGCCGUCUCUGGCGGUGUAUUUGCCUUUCACGGGUCAACAUCAGUUUAGUCCGGUAGAAAAAGGCUGGAGGAAGGUGGCACCCUCGGGUGUGUUAUAGCCUCCUGUCAUAUGUGCCGGAUUAGACUGAGGAACGCAGCUUGCAGCAAUGCCGGGGUUCGCCCACGUACAAGCUUAGGAUGUUGACA